rnacentral:rRNA from 1 species
UACGGAGGGGGCUAGCGUUGUUCGGAAUUACUGGGCGUAAAGCGCACGUAGGCGGCUUUGUAAGUUAGAGGUGAAAGCCCAGGGCUUAACCCUGGAAUUGCCUUUAAGACUGCAUCGCUAGAAUCGUGGAGAGGUGAGUGGAAUUCCGAGUGUAGAGGUGAAAUUCGUAGAUAUUCGGAAGAAACACCAGUGGCGAAGGCGACUCACUGGACACGUAUUGACGCUGAGGUGCGAAAAGCGUGGGGAGCGAACAGG